AGGCAGCCAGUUGAGCCAACUGUCCUCUUUCCCGUGGGGGCUGGCUGGCAUGCAAUGGCUGCUAAUAACAGCUUCCUGAGUCAGGGAUGCAGCCUGGUUGGCACGUAUAAGCCACUCGAAGGAACCUUGGAGACAACC
ensembl:snoRNA SNORA70 Small nucleolar RNA SNORA70